UGCGUCUUGCUUUGCAAUAAGGUGUCCUUUUGGGCUGAAACUUUCCACGCUUAGUUUCAGCUCAAAGGUGCAUUUAUUUUGGAAAGUUCACAC
rnacentral:pre_miRNA from 1 species